rnacentral:rRNA from 1 species
UACGUAGGUGGCAAGCGUUGUCCGGAUUUACUGGGCGUAAAGCGCGCGCAGGCGGAUUGGUCAGUCCGGGGUGAAAUCUCACGGCUCAACUGUGAGCGGUCCCCGGAUACUGCCAGUCUCGAGGUGUCUAGAGGAGAGCGGAAUUCCCGGUGUAGUGGUGGAAUGCGUAGAUAUCGGGAAGAACACCAGUGGGCGAAAGAC